CCUACGGGAGGCAGCAGUAAGGAAUAUUGGUCAAUGGGCGCAAGCCUGAACCAGCCAUGCCGCGUGCAGGAUGACUGCCCUAUGGGUUGUAAACUGCUUUUGUACGGGAAGAAACCCUGAUACGUGUAUCAGGUUGACGGUACCGUAAGAAUAAGGACCGGCUAACUUCGUGCCAGCAGCCGCGGUAAUACGAAGGGUCCAAGCGUUAUCCGGAUUUAUUGGGUUUAAAGGGUGCGUAGGCGGCUUAUUAAGUCAGUGGUGAAAGCCCAGAGCUCAACUCUGGAACUGCCAUUGAUACUGGUGAGCUUGAAUAUAGUUGAGGUAGGCGGAAUAUGACAUGUAGCGGUGAAAUGCUUAGAUAUGUCAUAGAACACCGAUUGCGAAGGCAGCUUGCUAAACUAUUAAUUGUACGCUGAGGCACUAAAAGCGUGGGGAUCAAACAGGAUUAGAUACCCUGGUAGUCCACGCCCUAAACGUUGAUAACUCGUUAUGUGCGAUAUACAGUACGUGACUAAGCGAAAGCAUAAGUUAUCCACCUGGAAGUAAGGUCGNAAGAUUGAAAUUCAAAGGAAUUGACGG
rnacentral:rRNA from 1 species